AUUGAACGCUGGCGGAAUGCUUUACACAUGCAAGUCGAACGGUAGAGGGGGCAACCCCUCGAGAGUGGCGAACGGGUGAGUAAUAUAUCGGAACGUGCCCAGUCGUGGGGGAUAACGUAGCGAAAGUUACGCUCAUACCGCAUACGAUCUAAGGAUGAAAGCGGGGGAUCGCAAGACCUCGCGCGAUUGGAGCGGCAGAUAUCAGAUUAGGUAGUUGGUGGGGUAAAGGCUCACCAAGCCAACGAUCUGUAGCUGGUCUGAGAGGACGACCAGCGACAUUGGAACUGAGACACGGGCCAGACUCCUACGGGAGGCAGCAUGGGGGAAUUUUGGACAAUGGACGCAAGUCGGAUCCAGCCAUUCCGCGUGCAGGAUGGAGGCCCUCUGUUUGUAAACUGCUUUUGUACGGAACGAAAAGGUCUCUCUUAAUACGGGGGACUAAUGACGGUACCGUAAGAAUAAGCACCGGCUAACUACGUGCCAGCCGCCGCCGUAACAC
rnacentral:rRNA from 1 species